rnacentral:lncRNA from 1 species
ACGUGACUGAAAAAUUAUGUGUGUAUGACAGGUUAAUGUGAUGGAAAACUAUUGAAGUUUGGAUCCAAACUUUGGAUCUAAACACAAACUUAGUUGCUUCUCCGACUUUGCUUACACACGUACGAACCUCCAGUACAAAAGUCAACAAGAAGACGGCGUAAAUAAUUUUUUUAAAAAACCAACGAUUUAGCUCGCUGCAUGCGUACGCCUGACGGCCUGAACGCUAAUUAAUCACGACUGCGAGAAGUAAACAAGAUCCUUUCAUUUUCUUUUCUUUUCCCGGUUUUUUCUUCCCCGCCCCCGGACAAGGGCCUUCUAGCCAUUUGUGUUGUAUAAAUAAAACUAGUAUAAUAACCCACGCAAAUUGCACGGCUAGCAUAAUUAUAUUCUCUCAUAUAAUAGCAUAUAUAUUUUCUCAAUGUAUUAUUCAAAUAUAUUAAAAUGAUAACAUAAUUUUAAAUUUUGUACUAACUUUACAAAACUACUAAUGUGUAAUAUUCAUAUUGUAUUUUAUAUACGUGUUAGUUAUUAAUUAUUUUUAAUAUCAAAUUUUAGUUAUUUGUAAAUUAUAUUCCUAUAUGGACUCUAGACUCGUCUUUCAAUAUUUCUUUUUUAAAAUUCCGAAAUUUUCGUUAUCUGUAAAUUAUAUUUCUAUAUAAACUCUAGGCUCUUCUACUAAUAUUAUUUAUUUUUAAUUUUGAAUUUUUAUUGUUUCCAAUUGUAUCUCUAUGUGGACUCUAAACACAUCUUUCAAUAUUCUUUAAUUUUUAAUUUCGAAUUCAGUUACUUAUAAAUUGUAUUCCUAUAUUAACUUUAGACUCUUCUUCCCCUUUUUUUAAAAUUUUGAAUUUUAGUUAUUUGUAAAUAGUAUUUUUACAUGAACUCUAAACUCUACUUUUAAUUUUAUUAUGUUUAUUUCGAAUUUUAGUUAGUUUUAAUUUCUUAUAUGGACUCUAUGCUCUACUUCUAAUAUUCCUUAUUUUUAAUUCUGAAUUUCUAUUAUUUUUUAAUUAUAUUUCUAUAUGGACUCUAUGCUCUACUUCUAAUAUUCCUGGUUUUUAAUCCUGAAUUUCUAUUAUUUCUUAAUUGUAUUUCUAUAUGGACUCUAUUCUCCUCUUCUAAUAUUCCUUAUUUUAUUAAUUCCAAAUUUCAACCAUUUCUAAUUGUAUUUCUAUAUGGACUCUGUUUUCCUUUUUCUCCGAUUAAUAUGAGAUUUUCUAGGUCGUGAGAGCGAACGUGGAGGCUCCUUUUUCUAUUCCUUUAAUAAGUUAAUAGAUUCUUCUAGCCGUUUGUUUGUGUUGUAUAAAUAAAAUUUUUCUUUCUUUUAAUAUAUUGGCGUAUAAUUUUUUUUGCGCGUUUGUGAAAGAAGUAUUCAAGAUAGAGUAUAUUUUGCCAGGUCACAUCGAGAUCGGAGUCAAAUCCUCCGGCCACAUCGAUCGAUUAACGACCUUAAUUCCGAUCGAUCAAGCUAAGAUCGAUCGUUGUCUCUGUUUGCGGUGGCCACCGCCGGCCAAGUCGCCGGAGAUGAGAUGAGAGAUUAUCCAGUCCAGUUUGCACAUACGCGUGGACCAAACCGGACAGAGAACGCGGCUGCAGCCGCAAUUUAUCAAUGUAGAACGGCUACGACGACGGCGACGGCGAAGAGGAUGAUGAAGAAUACUUUCUCUAUUUUUAAAUACUUAUACCGUUCACUUCUUAACACAUAUUUGACUAUUUGUCUUAUUAAAAACUUUUGUGAAAUAUAUAAAACUAUAUGUAUACAUAUAACUAUAUUUAACAAUGAAUUAAAUGAUAGGAAAGAAUAAUAAUUACUUAUUUUUUUAGUAAGAUGAACGGUCAAAUAUAAUUAAAAAAGUCAACUGUGUUAAAUAUUUAGAAACGAAUGGAGUAUAAAGGGAGUAUAUUAUAUCUGAAUCGAGGUCGACGCGUCCGUCCAGCUAAUUGGUUCUCAUUCGAUUUGCCCAUGCUCGAGUUGACAUUUUUUUGGGUCCUCGAGCUCUCUCUCGCUCAAGGUUAAUUACCCACUUAAUCACUGGGAUUUAACCGGGAUUUGGUGGGGAAAGCUAAUAUUUUAAUCCGUUUUCAGUCAGAAACUGCAGGCCCCGACGACGACCUCCUAGCCUUAGCCCCUUAGCUUCCUUCUUUAUAAGGAGGGCAAGCUACCAUUGCAAGGACAAUUAACUUUGUUCAGCCAUCGCUUUGCUUGAUACCCUUCUUGUUCAGAGCCUACGUGAUUAAGCUAAGCCUGGUUUAAUAUUUCGAGAUCGGUAACGACGAUCGAUCGAACGCCGCAAUGGACGUCGUCGUCGAGAGCCCGCCGGUGAGGGACGAGAAGAAAGUCGACGUCGCCGCGGUAUGAUAACAUAAAUUGGAUUUAAUUACGAUCUUUUUUUUGAGACGUGAUGAUGCUAAUUGCAGAGUUCUUGAACAAGAUCAAACUGAAUUCGAUUAAUUGUAUUUGGGUGCAGAUUGGAGGCGCGCCUCCAAUAGUCUUUGAGAGUUUUGCACCAUCGACGCAGAGAGAUUCAACCAUCAUCAAGAAGGUAUCCAUCCAUCGAUCGAUCAAUCGAUCGUAAUUUGUUCUGAUAAUUCAGAAAUUGGUGAUUAAUUAUGUGGUAAUUAUUGUGACAGGAGGAGAAGAUGGAGGCAGCGAAGGCGGAGAUGGGCGAGGUGAGGGAGGAGAACGAGCGGCUCAAGACGAUGCUCACACGCAUCGUCAGCGACUACAAGUCGCUGCACACGCACUUCCUCGACGUCGUCAAGGUCAAGGAGCAAACGGCGGCGGAGCUCUCCGGAGACGACGACGACGACGAGCCCGACGACCUCGUCUCCCUGAGCCUCUGCACGAGGCCCAACGCCGCCGCGACGCGCCGGAAGGGCCACGAGAGGACGCCGUCGUCCGGCGGCGGCGGCGACGACGGGCGGCUGUCCCUCGGGCUGAGCUGCGCUCGCGGCGGCGUUGCCUCCGACGACGACGACGACAAGCAGGCGAGCCGCCGCGCGUUGCCGCCGAUGCCCGUGCUGAACCUCAGCUCCGACAGCAGCGGGGACGCCGCCGGCGCCGGCGCCGGCGAGCCUACCCAGCCGAACAAAGCGUCCAGGAGCUCGAGCGGCGGCGGCGAUGGCGCCGACGACGAGGUGCUGCAGCAGCAGCAGGCCAAGAAGGCUAGGGUUUCCGUCAGAGUCAAGUGCGACACCCCCACGGUACUAAUUAAUUACAGAAGAACGAUUACUCUUCUUAAUCCCAAUCUCUAAACCAUAAUAAUUACGUAAUUUACCCGUGCUAAUCACGCUGUUAAUUAUGAUUAGAUGAACGAUGGGUGUCAGUGGCGGAAAUACGGGCAGAAAAUCUCAAAGGGGAACCCUUGCCCGCGCGCCUAUUACCGUUGCACCGUUGCACCCAACUGCCCUGUACGCAAGCAGGUACGUAUAUACGCGUAUAAAUACGUAUUUACGUUUACAAAUACGUAUAUGAUUCGAAUGAUGCGUACUUAAAUUGAAGCGAAAAUUUAAAUUUGUGUUGGUUUUGUGUUAAUCGAUGGAUCAGGUGCAGAGAUGCGCGGACGACAUGUCGAUCCUGAUCACGACGUACGAGGGCACGCACAGCCACCCGCUGCCGCCGGCGGCGGCGGCGAUGGCGUCCACAACGUCGGCCGCGGCGGCGAUGCUGACGUCUGGCUCGACCAACUCCACGAUGCACGGCAGCGGCGGCGUUCACCACCACCUGCCGUUCGCCUCGGCCGUCGGCGGCGGCGGCGGCGUCGGGCUGCUCGGCCCGACCACCAUCUCCACCGCCACGUCCUGCCCCACCGUCACGCUCGACCUCACCGCGCCGCACUCGCUCCUGCACCCGUCGUCGGCGUCGCCCUACGCCGCCGCCGCCGCGGGGUACGAGUCCAGCAGGGCGCUGCCGGCGGCGUGGAGCAGCGGGUACCUGGCGUACGGCGGCGCGGCGGCGGCGCAGCCAUACUACGCCAAGGGCGUUGCGCCGUCGCCGUUCGGCCAUCAUUUCGGCAUGAUGGGCAUGGCGGCGGCGGCGGCGAGGCCGGCGCCGGAGCAGCUGUUCGGCGGCCAGACGACGUCGCCGUACCUGCAGAGAGCCAUCGGCGGCGGCGGCGUCGCGCCGGCGGCCGUGACGGACACGAUCGCGAAGGCGAUCACGUCGGACCCGAGCUUCCAGUCGGUUUUGGCGGCGGCGAUCACGUCCUACAUGGGGCGCGGCGGCGGCGCGGCGGCGCCGAACAAGUGAAGCAAGUUCAUAAAAUUGAUCUAAAUUUUGUUUAGAUAAUCAAUUAGAUGGUAAUAAUUGCUUGAUUUGUUCUGCUAUACGUACGUAUUAGUCUCCUAAUUGGCAAAUUGAUGUACAUAGAGUACAGUAUAUAUAAGCAUGCACAAGCGUGAGAUCACUCAAUUGUAUAUGCACUAUGUGGGGGGAAACAAAUUAAUUCAAAAUGAGGCUUUUGAUUUCCAGGCUUCAAGGAGCUAGACAUGCAUGCGUGAUAGUGUCAGGUAAGCAUAAUUUUUGUACAAACAGUACUGAUCAUGGAGUGAUAAUAUAUACUCCCUCCGUAUUUUAAUGUAUGACGCCAUUGACUUUUUAACCAACGUUUGACCAUUCGUCUUAUUUAAAAUUUUUAUGCAAAUAUAAAAAUACUUAUGUCAUGCUUAAAGAACAUUUGAUGAUAAAUCAAGUCACCAUAAAAUAAAUUAUAAUUACAUAAUUUUUUAAAAUAAGACGAAAGGUCAAACGUUUGUCAAAAAGUCAACGGCGUCAUACAUUAAAAUACGGAGGGAGUAUAUACUGCGCAGGAAAGCAAGAAGGAAACAAAAAUCCAUGAAAAUAACUUGACCAAAGUUAAAAUUCUCCCCAUAUAUAUGAGAGAUUAAUUGAUAGUGUAUUUUGGUGAUAACCACUGACGAUCUCUAGUGGCCUGAUUUUGGUUAGGAGCGUAAACUCUUGAUUUGAUCGAAUGAAAUGUUGACAAAACAGCUACCAGCAAUAAGUCUAUGAUGCAAUGUCAUAUCAAACAUAACGUGUGGUUUGAUAAUCUCUAAUGUAGACAAGAAAACACUGCAAAAAUAAGGUAGAUACAAUCUAAAUAUUAUUUAUGAAUAGGUGCUUAAUUAAGCACGAUAGGAAUGAUUGUUAUUGAAGUGGUCAAUCCAAUCGAUCGAGUAAAUCAAUAUACCAACUAUUUUAGACUUUUAUAGUCACCGACUAAACGAUCGUGAACUAAGAAUAAGAUUAAACACACUUGGAUAAAAAUCAACUAAAUAAAAUAUUUUUUUCUUGCAAUACAUAGCUAGUUAUAAAGGAAACUAGAGUUUGGUGUGCUCAAGUUCAUUAAUUAAGGUGGAGAGAGGCUCACCAGAGAUGGGCAGUGAUGAACCUUUAAAAAACAAUUACCGGUAUCCUAUAUAUAUAUCAUAGUAUAUAUAAUAUUCUGAUUUCAACUAAUAAUGUAGUUAAUAUAGGCAACAUCUAAAUAUUAAAAUUUGGAACACCACUAACGAUGGGAAAUCUAUUGGAAAACCCCAAACCUAAAUUUAGUUUGCCUUCAGCAACAACAGUGGCUUAGAUAAAUUUGGCCCAUGCCACUGUAAAUUUGUUGUAUUAAGAAAAUCAUGUCAUUUUGUACGCAUCAAACAUGUUUGGAAUUUUUUUUACUUUAAUUUUACAUGAACCAAAAUACCAAAUCUACGGCCUCAUCGGUUCGCUUAUUGGAGGAAUAAGCGAAACGGCAUAUUUACAAAAGAACAAUAAUUUAUACGUAAAACUUUUAUAUACGUGUUAUUAGCGAUCUAAAAGCAAACGCUCGAAAAUAAACUUCGAUGAAAAGACAUCAAAAUCAACUCCAAAUUUAAAGUUGAAAAUUCAAAUUUUGCCUGAUAAGCAUAAGUAUAAGCGAAAUGAUGAGGCCGCUAAACACAGAACCUGCCCGUCAGUUCCAUGUUCUUUCUUCACCCUCCCCUCUCUCUUCACCUCUCCUUCACCAAUAUUCAAAGGUUUUCGUGAAGUCUAACAAAAUCUAAACCAGAGGUGCCGUGAACAUGCUAGGUCCAUUUCAAACCAAUACGGUCCUAGAAGGCUGGACUGGACUUGACCCGUGUUGGUUUUCCACUGAAAGAAUAAACAGCUAGGUCCGUUUCAAACCAAUACGGUCCCAGAAGGCUUAACUGGACUUGGCCCGUGUUGAUUUUCUACUUAAAGAAUAAAUAGCCAUAAAUGUGAGCACCCGUAUUAAAUCUAGAAUUCGAACCCGGGUAGGUUGGUUCCACAACAAGGAACCAAACCAAUUGAAUUAUGCUCACUUCGUGAUCUCCGUGAUGAUUUUGAGUACAUAUGUCUCCUUGGUGAUAUAACCGAAGAUUACUAAAGUAUAAUCACACGACAAACAUUAUUUAGCGGUUUAUUUUAAGUUGAUGUGCAUGUGCUCUUGUUAAUAUUGGACCUAAUGAAGUUAUAUGUGAGUAUCUGAUUAAAUGAUGUCCUCAAAUAAUGAUCAUUCUAGGCUGCGAUAAUAUAUACUGCCUCCAUUUUUUAAUAGAUGACGCCGUUGACUUUUUCUCAUAUGUUUGACCAUUCGUCUUACUCAAAAAUUUUAUGCAAAUGUAUAAGAUAUAAAUCACACUUAAAGAACUAUGAAUGAUAAAACAACCCAUAACAAAUUAAAUUAUAAUUACGUAAAUUUUUUGAAUAAGACGAAUGGUCAAACAUGUGAGAAAAAGUCAACGGCGUUAUCUAUUAAAAAACGGAGAGAGUAGUUUGGUAUUUUCAGAAAUCUUGCUUUCACAAAGCCGAUCUUUAAUUUCUGCAACUGCAGUGAUCACAAGAUACAAAUAAAUUUCUUAUAUAUAUAUAUAUAUAUAUAUAUAUAUAUAUAUAUAUAUAUAUAUAUAUGCUAUAACGUUUAUACUUUUUUACCCUUUUUGAAUUACCAGCGAAAGUAUAAAAUAGAAAAGUAGGUAGAUAAAUACUUGGAUUUUAGAAAGGAAAAAAACAUGGUGCAGUAUAUGUAUAUUACUUGGACAAAAAGAAGAUAGUGAUUAUACGAGUUGGGAAUACUAAGACCAGAUGGAACACACUGAAAACAUUGUUAGUUUGGUAAAAUCUCACUCUAAUCCUUGAAAUAGAUUUAUUCUUUCCGACUGUCCGACACCCUCUUAAUUUGAAAUAAUAUUUCAUGAGAAAUUUUACGGUUAUUGAGAGAAAGUAUUUCGAGGUACCAAAUUCUAUUAUAUUCUUAAAGAUGGUAAAAUCAUCCAUAUUUCACGGAUGAUACUGGACUUAAAAAGGUCCAUUAUUCAAAAAGAGAAAAAAAAAACUGAGCUAGUCGAAGUGCUCCUGCAUUGGACUGAACGAUUUGCAAGUUUAGAUGGGCCUCCUUUUAUGGGCCUGAAUGUUGGGUCCCACACACAAAGAUGGGCCUGCAAUGAGCCUCAUCCAAGCAAGGCCUUACCGGCUUACCCUGUUCUUGGGCCCUUAUGAGGAAUGGCACAUCUGAUUAACUCUGCAGAUAUACAACCAGUUAUCUGCAACUUGUAAGAGAAGAUAAGGAAGAAUGGGGAAUAAAAUGUAAGAAAAGUGAUGGAAAAAUAGAAGCCGCCGCGGGAAGAUGUUUAUAAAAUUAAUAUCGAUGCUUCCUUCUUCGCUGAGACUGGCACUGGAGGCUGGGGUUUUGUGGCAAUGGAUUCAAAGGGUUCUUUCUGCUGGAAGCUUAUCGUGGAUGGGCAACGCCCUGCAUGUGGAGGCGUUAGCAAUGAUGAAAAGUCUAGAAAAAGUGUCUCAACAGGGGAUGACAAAAAUUGAGGUUAAAACGGAUGCACAGAUGCUGGGCAAAGCACUUAUUUCCCAAGAUCUGAACCGUCGCCCUGAUGGUGUCAUUUUCAGAAAAUUAAGGGCUUUCUUAAGAUCAAACUUUGAUGUCUUUUCUAUUUCAGUUUUCCCUAGAUCUUGUAACAAAGUGGCUGAUUGUUUGGCCUCUUUUGGUGUGGGUAUCGUGGCCACUAGCUCCAAGUGUUUCUGGAGCCAAGCCCCGACGUUUGUAUCUCCUUUGGUCUCCGGCGAUUUGCCUGGAGAUACUGGUUAAUGAAAGCAGAGGUUUACUGUGUCAAAAAAAAAGUUCUCUGCAACUUGAGAAUAGCAUGAGCGUUUGUCCACCAAAAUUCAAUGCGAAAAAAUUUACUUUACUUCAGUGAUAUCAAGAGGUAAUACCAAAAUUUUUAAUGUAAAUUUUUAUAUCUUAAGUAGCUUGAUUUUACAUUAGAAUAUACGAUAAAGCUAAUUAAUUAGCGGAGAUGGAAGAGGCUAUUGGAAUUAUGCACAAAUCAUCACGAUUUUAUAGCUAAAACAAUACGGCGUACUCCGUUUAGAAAAAAAUUAAUUCUAACGACGAAUCUGAAGUUCUAAACAUAUGAUUGUCUAGAUUUAUAGUUAAGAUUUAACUCUUUUUUUUUUAAGUAGUAAGUCUAGUGCAUACAAGAACCGAUCGAUCGAUCACGAACGGCGGUACAACUAACAAGCAACCAAGAAAAACAAAAACAGAAGUAAAUUCAGCGUUCAGAACGACGAUUCCGACGAGUGCGCCGCCGCGGCGGCGUGCAGCGGCGCCCCCCACGCCUGCGCGUGCGCGGGAGGCGGCGAGGCCGCCGCCGCCGGAACGCUCCACGGCGGCGCAGCGGAAGUAGGGUACGGGAGGUGGCCGCCGCCGCCGACGCAGCCGGGGGUCGCGUGGUUGUGGACGCCGUCGUAGGUGGUGACGACGUAGCGCGGGUCGUCGCCGUCGCGCUCCACCCGCUUCUUGACGCCGCACCCCGCCGCCGAGCACCGGUAGUAGUUCCGCGGGUUCGGGCUGCUCUUCACCGCCUUCUUCCCGUACUUUCGCCACUUGAACCCGUCGUCCAGCACCUCCACCUCCGACCUCGUCCUGAACCCGAUCCUGCUCGUCGUCGCCGCCGCCGACGACGACGACGACACGCCAUACUGAUCAUUGUUCCCGCCGGCGACCACCACCGGCUGCGACGGCGGCGGCGGAAGCGGCAGCGAGUACACGGAAUGGCCGAGCUCCAGGAAUUCACCAAAGGAACAGCCGCCGCCGCCGCCGCCGUCGACGAUGUGGUCCGCCAUGAGAGGAGGGAAGCACAAGGAGGAGGAGGUGUUCGACGCCGGGUACGAGUAGGCGUACGACGUCUCGUGGCAGAGUCCCAGCGAAGCCGCCAUGCUCGCGUCACUGUGCGUUAGCUAAGCUAGCUGCUGCUGCUGCUGAUUGAGUGUUUGACAGAAUUUCUCGUGUCAAGCACUGCAAUUUAUACUGCCGAAUCGAUUGGUCCAAACUAGCUGGCUAUGUGGAUGGUUCACACGAACGAUCCUGAUGAUCAGAAGGUUCUCAAUAGAUGGAUUAAUUGUGUCACAUGUCGAUUGUGAUUACUUCUUACCGUGACAGUGACACCCCCGCUAACUAACCCUGCACUUUUGGCAUUUAUGACCGCACAAACUUAGCCCCUGGUCAGGGAUGAAUUAACAAUCUACUGCUCCCCACCGGUUUGAUAAUAAUUAUCGCUUUGAACAAUCAAUGACAUGAUCUUAAAAAGUAACUUUGAUAACUAUUUUUCAUUAUAGUAUAAUAGAAAUAUCAAUAACUAUAUGAUUUUGUUGAAGUAGUUUUUAGGACCAAUCUAUACAUAUGGUCAUUAUAUUUCUAAUAUAACUAUUUUAUAUUUUAUAGUUAAAGUUUUUUCAGGUUUGACAAUAGGUUUGUUCAGAACGAUAAGUAAUAUCAACCAAGAGAGAAGUAUAUAUACUGAAAUUGUGGUCAAUGUUGAGACAUUGCAUUAUGAUGACCAUGACUUGAUUUAUUGGAUGAUCGAUCCCUCAGUAUUUUCUCCGUUCUUAAAUAUAAGCAUUUAUGCACAAUAUAAAGAUUCCCGUAGUAUUCACUAUUACACACGGAAAUUAAAUCCAAACAUUUUCAAGCUAAUCCAAUCGAGCAAUUUAAAAUUUAAUUAAGGAGGUGACCAAGGGAGAAUCUUUUACCUCAAUCUUAAUUUUUGCUAAACAAUCUCAGAGUUUGUUUGGGAGGUUUCGGACAGCUCAAUUUUCUCUCAGAAUUAAAAUUUCUGCCAAACAAUUCAGCAUUUUGUCCAUAUUAUAACCAGCUAUAUCAGCAUAAUUCAGAAAAUAAAGUAGAAGCAAGAAAUUGGUAACUUAAUUAUUCCGAUUCUUAUCAGCUGGAUUCACACCAUUCGCUUUUCAAAAUCUAAUACUUUCCAAAGUCCAAACAGAUCCUUAUAGGAACGGAUCAUCGGAAGAGGUGUAUAUAUAUACGGUAGUCCAAGUUAACGUGGGAGUCCAAGCGGUCGUGUCGACGGAUAGCACUAACGUAACGUGCGUGCGUACGAUGCACCUGGCCCAAAUGCAAGCGACACCUGUAAAAAGGGGCGCGCGCGUCCAAUCUAAGUACGUAUCAGGCGGGGCACUGCAGCGGCGGCCGGGCGGGCAAUUCGGCCGCGACUACGGGUGCGAGAAAUUUACCGGCCGGCCUACGACGCGAGCGAUCGAGCGCACGCGCCGCGCGCGCAUGCUGAUCGCUCGCUCGAUCAUUGCCACGCACUGGUUUCUUCUCGAUUUUACUUUGCGUGGGGUAGGCCAAGUUUGACGGGGACGCGAACUCGCGAAGCACAUACGAACGACCAGAAAAUUAAUAUUAGCAAACGGGUUUUUAUGUAGAUAGCGGAACUACCUACUUACAUCUCUAAUCGUGAAGCAUACUCAGUGUAAUAUAGGUGAACCAUACUUAGUGUGUCAGGCGACUGAAAUUCUAGAAAUUUCAAUUAACUUAAACCUAGCGCUAGAUUUUGAGAGAGAAGGAGGAUGGUGAAACUCACCGGUAGACGGUGCACUGGUGUAUGUAGGCGAGAACUUGCCUCGUAUGUGUUGGCGGGAAAAAGAGUAAAGAAAAAUAAAGUUAUUGUGUUUAUAUGAGUCUUCGAAUGAUCUAAACCAUUCAGAAGUGCCUGAAAAUCAUUGACAUUAUUUUAAGGGAUUGUGUACUCCUCGUUUAACAGAAAACCCCUCCUAAUAUCUUGUAAUUUUUUUUAUCAUUGGAUUGAUUUGAGAUUCGUGCAAACCGCACAAAACCCAAACCACUUAUCCUUCCCCUCCUCCCCGCCGCCACAAAAAUCGGUCGAGCACUCCUCCUCCCUUGACACCGUGCGCCUCCUGUGCUGCUGCCACCGUUGGCUGGCCGAAAGGUGUCAACGGCACCGGCGAGCCUCCCCGGCCGGCCCCCUCCCCCUCCCUCUCCUCUCCUUUGCCUCAAGCUAGCGGCGGCGAGCUGUCCCGUGUCGUCGUCUUCCCCGUCGCCGGCGGUGAGCACCACCACCGGCCGCCUCCUCCUACCACUCUUUCCGCUUUGCCCCCGUCACCCGCUCCCGAUCCCGCGGCUUCGGCUGCGCCACCGCCGCCUCACCGCCCGCCCGAUUCGCCGCCCACCGCUGGGUUGCUGCCUCCCACGGUUGUCAGGGUUAUGGAUACCACAUAUCUAAUAGUAGUUGACUAAAUCUCGGAAGGAUCCACCACAUACCAUGUCUUAUACGGAAACUGACCUCGAGGGAGUUCCAGAUAAGGAAAGACAACCAGAGUUCUACAUGGAAACGACAAGGACUACUCGGAUUGUAUCCAUAUUGGUUUCCCUAGUUCUACUUGGACAAGGGGACACCUAUGGGUAUAAAUACAAGGCCCCCUAGGAGGAGACGGGACACGAGACGAACAACACACACACCCACCAUGAGAGGAUCAACAACCACCACAAUCUACGCGACAACAUACAAGCCUACAUACGCCAAGACACGCCGCCGGAUAUCGACUUCAGUGAUAGGCAUGGCUAUUCCCCUACGGUGUCUCCGGAUACUGUCAGGAGAUACAAAAGCGCUAUCUCUGAUCUCGCCGGACACGGAUUCAAGGAGCAAGGCUACCCUGUUGUCGACUACGAGUCAGACCUUCAGACCGCCAUGUCGACAACAGUUUGAUAAGCUACCCACAUAUUGUACUGGUGUUAUUAUGGUGAAUAAAAGCAACUCCGGCUCCGGCCAACAGGAUGUAGGGUUAUUACCUGACAAUUUAGGGGCCCGAACCUGUAUAAAAAUCCUCGUCUCCAUCUCUUUUACCUCAGUCUCGCGUAUACCCUAGCACCGACGAUCCCCAUACUGUCCAAAUACCGUAGUCGAGACAUCAAACGUCGACAACGGCCAUCCCUCUAAAGCCGGCGAACUCCCUCCUCUUCCCAUUCCCCUCCCCCCUCCCAACCCCACCCUACCCUGGGGCCCUAAUUCAUCGGCCCUCUGUCGGAGUUUGGGUUCGCCGGCACCAGAGAAGAAGAGGUGGUCGCCGGAGUUAGAGAAGAAGAGCACGAAUCGUGAAGCACAUCCAGUGAUCCAAAAUUUACAAGAUUUAAGAUUGUAUUUUCUGUCGACAGAAGUUUAGCAAUUUCUGUUAUUUUAAUGUAGAUAAACGACUUGCCUUGUAUGCAUUGGCGGGAGGACGAGGGGAAGGAUAAAGUUACUGUGUUUGUAAGAAUCGGCGAAUGAUCUGAGCCAUUCAAAAGUGACUGAAAUUCGUUGAUAUUUUUUUUUACUGAGAACCAGACUCCUCUAAUAUUUAUACGUUAUCUUUUGAUCGUAUAUUAUUAUAUCAGCCAAUUUUGAGUUUAGCUUAAAAUUUUUGGGCAUGCAUGUGCUCAAUUGAUUGGGUAGAUUGUAUAUUACCGUUAAAUUUAUUAAUUAGCUAGCCUAGUGGAUCAUCAUAAGGAGGACGCAAAAGAAACUCUCCUCUUUUUCCACUUCCCGGCCGGUUAAGUACGUACGUACCAAUGACAGGAAUGAGAUAAUAAUAAUAUGCAUUUCGCCAUCGAUCGUCAUCCAAAAACUGGGAUCAAGUUCAGAUACAAUGUUUUCGACCUGUGCUCUUGGCCAACUAGUCAUAUAUUAAAUGUUGGAGAAGCCAGUGCCGUAGCCACCUUUACAUGCGUGCACUUGUAAGCCGUCUUCCAUCAAGAAAACGUGCAUUUUGUUUGCUUGAGAAUGAUGGACUAAUUUUUAAGUACACAUCGGUCUACAGUACUAUACAUCGUUAGGCACCGAUCUCUUUGCUGCUGGCGGAUUCCGGAUGAUCCAGCGAGUGUAUUGAACGAUCGAUAACUCUUACCAAGUACUCCCUCUGUUUUGACUUUUAUCAAAAUUAAACUGUUUUAAGUUUAACUAAAUUUAUAGAUAAAUAUAGCAAUAUUUAUAAUACUAAAUUAGUUUCAUCAAAUCAAUAAUUGAAUAUAUUUUCAUAAUAAAUUUGUCUUGGGUUGAAAAUGUUACUACUUUUUUCUAUAAACUUGCUCAAAAUUAAAACAGUUUAACUUUGACUAAAAUCAAAACAUCUUACAACCUGCAACGGAGGUAAUAAGCACGUCAAUGAUUCAUAAUGCACGCUAGUACAUAUACAAACAGUGGCCGGAACUCAAAAUAAAAAUGAAGAAAAUAUUUGCAAUUAAGCAUGUUUCAUACACAAACCAUGCAUCGUAAUGACUAAUGAGCAAAAUUACACCCGGUUCACGACUCGUGCAAGAACAUUAAUUAGUAACUAGACGACUGAUAUAUAGAAUUAGUAUCAACGUUGUAGAGUAGAGUGGUAUGUAUCAUUAGUUUCGCUAGAAAGUCAAGCUCAAAUUUAAUCUACAUAUUGAAAAAAAGGAGUUCGUGUCAAGUUUAUUUGUUUUUUUAAUAAUAUAUCUCUUGAUGUGUUAGUUGGAUUUGGAGUUAGUGUGAUUUUAUGAAGUGGUAUAUAUGUAUGUAGUAUAAAAAUUAUCUAAUUUUUAGAUCAUUUUAUUAUCAUUUGAAUAGUGUUUGAACAAACGGAAGUAUAGUCUCAAGUAUGUCCUCGAGAGAUCAGUAGGGUCUUCCAACGUAAUGUGAAUGGGUUUAAUUCAUUCAAUAGAAAGAUAUUUCCAGUUUAUACAGGAGCUCCUCCCUUAAGUCCAACUACGUACCGUAAAUAUAUGCUCGCUCUGUAUAAUAGAUGAAACCAUUAACUUUUAAACACAUGUUUGACCAUUCGCCCUAUUCAAAAGUUUUAUAUAAAUGUGUAAGAUAUAAAUCAUGCUUAAAGUAUUUUGAGUGAUAAAACAACCCACAACAAAAUAAAUUAUAAUUAUGUAUUUUUUUUUAACAAGACGAAUGAUCAAAUGUGUGACAAAAAUCAAUGACGUUAUCUAUUAAGAAAACGGAGGUAGUAGUAGACAAUAUCAACAUAGAAAGUACCGAACCUACUCGAAUUCGAUCGAAUGUGUACGGGGAAUCAAGCAUGGAUCUCUCGGCACGCAACAUGGAUACUACCUCCGUCUCAUUUUAAGUGCAGUUAUGAUUUUCCGUGUCCAACGUUUGACUGUACGUCUUAUUUAAAAAUUAUAUGAAAAAAUAAUAAAAAAAAGAUAGUCUCACCAUAAAGUAUUAUUAAUGUUUUAUCAUCUAGUAAUAAAUAAAAAUACUAAUCAUAACAAUUUUUUUAAGUUAGACAGACAGUCAAAUGUUGAAUAUAAACAACGCAAAACAAAUGUCUUUCUAGGAUGGUUCUUAGAUGGAGGUAGUACAUACUAGUUCCAACAAAACAAAGGGAAUAUUUUGAUAUUGACUUACUUCCCCAUCAUCUUCCCCUGGUAACCCGUAAGAAAAAUAGAAAAAAUACAAACUGGAGCCGCCCAGGUGGCCAGGUGUCUCCAAUCAGACCAAUCCAAUAUCAAAUCCUGAUCCAGCCAGUGCCCAGUGGCCACCACACUGCCUGCCGCAACCAACACCCAGCCACACGACACAGUCGAGCCGUGCCAAACUGCCAAAAUGCAUAUGCAGACGCCGCUAGAACCGAGCCCGCGCGCCAAACUCGAUGCCCAUCGCAUUCUGCAUCCAUCCCCCGUCCUGUACGUCCCCGGCCACCGCACCGCACGCGCGCAUGCGCGCACAGGCGCCGACGUACGAGCCGCCCGCCCACCGGAACGACGUGUCAACCAACCCGGUGGAGGAUCAAAAAAUAAAUUCGUUAGGGUCAUAACGUGUGUAUAUCGGUAUCAUAGCAUACUAAUUAUACUUAGGGCCUGUUUGGUACAGCUCCAACUCCUAAAUUUAGCUCCAGGAGUUGGGUCUGGAGUGGAGUUGUGGAGCUGUCUAAACCCAGCUUCACAACUCUAGUUCAUUUUGUGAGAGAGCUCCACCCAGCUCCACUCCCAGUUUUGGUGGAGCUGAAACUGUUUAACUGAGCUCCAGCUCCAGGAGGGGUGGAGCUGGAGCUGGAGCUGUGCCAAACAGGCCCUUAGAUCAUGGUGUUAUAAUAUAUGAAUAAAUAAUUUUUUAUAGGUUUGCUUGAAAGUUGUUGGUGUCGCCUGAUACCGGCCCUUCAACCGUAGAUCCGCCCUUACCAACCUGAACUAGAUCGAUCGAUCGACCGACCUGGCGGCGGGCGGCGCGCCGCGCGCGUGGUACGUGGGUGAGCGUACGCGCACGUCGCCGUCUGCUGCCGUGGCCUACCCGGCAGUCGAUCGAUCGAUCGAUCGAUCGCGCUGGGCGCAGCCGCAGCAGCUGGCGGGGACGCAGGACAACGGCGCGACUGUUACCUCCCUCGGCGUCAGGGGUGGCGCGACGACGACGUGAACGUGAGUUGAGGGGAGGUUCGCUCGCCUCGGCAGCUUUUGCUCAUCCGUCAUAUCUGUUCUCUGCUCUCCCAACGGCGCAAUCGAUAUGUUGAUUGAUCUGAAAAGGGAAAAGAAAACGAGAAGAAAAGAGGGAUGAAUUUAUCGUUUCCUUCCAAGAACUGCGGCAUCUUAGCAGCACGUUCAUUCAAAGCAAAAAGAUAUUUGGAGAGGAUGUUCCUCCAAACAUUUUUUUUAAAAAAUAUGAGCGCGUUGGAAAUUAAAUAUGAGAUUUCGGGGUUAAAACCAUACCCCCACGGUUAGCAGCAUGUAAAGCAUCUGAAAUUGUGAAAGACCGAAGACAAAAUGUAUAGCCAGACAUAUCGCUUACAGAUGUAUCACAAGAAAGAAAGACAUUAGGAUUUGAGCGAGUCUGAUUAACAAACGACGCAUAGCUGAACCCUGAUUAACACCUGUGGCCGUAUGAUCUCUUGCCCCGUGCACUGUCGGUAACAAUCGACAAGAUCAUCUCCCUGUCCGUGCAGUGCACGCAGAACGCUCACAUCAGGAUACUAACGUUAGGUGGGAACGUAGUUGAAGCUAGAGCACAACAAACAACGAGUGAGAGUAGCAAUCGGCAGUAUGAGCUGCCAGAUCGAUUCGACGCUAGCUCGAUCGGUUGGUUUGUGGUGCAUACCGCCGCGUCGUGUGUCCGUCUUGACAAGACAUUCUUGACGCCACCGUUCGCCUGACCUGUCAUCAAAUUUAGAUAAGAAGAUAUCGUCCAAAAUAGAAGUAGGCCGGCUGGUAUGGUUCUGUACUAAGGUCUUCGCCUAUCCACUCCCACCAGACCGUCUAUUGGCUAAAGCUAAAUAUCCAUAUCCAUCGCUGUCAAACCGCCUCCAGAUUUCAUAUUCAGGUUUUCUUUCGAAUUCAUAGUCCAAUUUGUCAAGUAGAGUACUCCAGUACAUUCAUGAUGCAGCACAUUGUGGCUAAGGCUAUGUUUAGUUCAGCAUAAAGUUUAGAUUUUGAUUAAAAUUGAAGAUGAUGUGACUGAAAAGAAAAGUUGUGUGUGUAUGACAGGUUGAUGUGAUGGAAAAUGACUGAAGUUUGGAUCCAAACUUUGGAUCUAAACACAGCCUAAGGAGUAGAACUUGGAUUAAAUAAUACAAAAGGACCACUUUAUUAUAUUGAACUUUGGCCUUGUUCGAUCUUUGGCCUGAACUCGAGUACUCCAAAAUUACUGAUUCGAGAUCGUACUAACAAAGUUUGUUUUACCUCACACAACGUCGUCUUCAGGGUGACCACCCACGCCCCUAGGGUGUACGGAGUAAUUUCAAAGAAAAACAGAAUUCUCA